ensembl:lncRNA novel transcript
GCACAUGUUAAAUGGGUGAUUAAGAAGACAGAGAGCUGCUUAAAAGGUCAUGGGAGAAGUACAAUGUCUGGGGACUUGGCAGUAGCCUGGCAGAGACCGCAGGAAUCCUAUAGAGUCUUUUAUGGACAGGGCUCUGAAAUUCCAGAGCCUGCAGGAGUACUUAGCCAGCGUGCAGAGAAGCUUCCCAGUUAGGAGGUGAAGAAACACAAGGCUGCACUGGAUGCGGAGGCUCCCACCUGGAAUCCCAGCACUUUGGGAGGCCAAGGCUGGAGGAUUGCUUGAGCCCAGGAGUUCAAAACCAGCCUGGGCAACAUAGUGAGAACCUGUCUCUACAAAAAAUAAAAAUUACCUGGGUGUGAUGGUGCACGCCUGUAGUCUCAGCUACCUGAAGGACAGAGGUGGGAGAAUGGCUUGAGACCAGGAGAUUGAGGCUGCAGUGAGUAGAGAUCACGCUACUGCAUUCCAGCCUGGGAGACAGAGCAAGACCUUGUCACAAAACAAAACAAAACAAAACAAAACAAAACAAAACAAAACAAAAAAAACACAAGGCCACCCUUCCUCACGAUGCCGCAGGUCCCCUCCCCUUCUCUCAGCAUGGCUGGAGAGCCCCUCAACUGUGGCCUGCUGUCCUUGAUCCAGUGCCCCACGCUGCCCCACCCUUCUGGGGAGCCCACCUCAAAGAGAACUCCCUGGAGGCUCCUACAGUGGCCUCCGGCUGACCAAAGUGUGCUGUGGGCAGAAGCCCCUGCCUCCCUCACCAUGUACUUCCUCAUCCCAGAUCUCAGUCCCUCAAGGGCCAGGCAGGUGUCAUCCAAGACGACAAGCCAUCUCAGUCUCAUGUACUGUGGGGAGAAGACCUCCCAGAGCCCUCUACCCUCUCCUUGAGUCAUACAUGCUUUUUUUUUUUUUUUUUUUUUUGAGACGGAGUCUCAUUUGUUUGCCCAGGCUGUAGUGAAGUGGCAGGAUCUCAGCUCACUGCAACCUCCACCCUCUGGAUUCAUGUGAUUUUCCUGCCUCAGCCUCUUGAGUAGCUGGGACUACAGGAAUCCGCCACCAUGCCCGGCUAUUUUUUUUUUUUUUUUUGUAUUUUUAGUAGAGACAGGGUUUUGCCAUGGUGGCCAGGCUGGUCUCGAACUCCUGACCUCAGGUGAUCCACCCGCCUUGUCCUCCCAAAGUGCUAGAAUUACAGGUGUGGGCCACUGCGCCUGGCCCAUACAUGCAUUUUAACAGCUACAUUCAUGGAUGCAUUUAGCAAGCAACCUGGCUUCACAUGCAAGGCACAGUGCUAGGAAUUAGGUCUACAGGGAUGAGCAAGAUGUGGACCCCGCCUCUGCUGUCUCCAGGCCACUAGGGACGAUGGUCGGGGAAUAGACCACUGAGAUUGAAGUGAUGAAAGUCUCAAGGAAAGAACAGGGAGGCAGAGGUUGCAGUGAGCCAAGAUUGCGCCACUGCACUCCAGCCUGGGCGACAGAGCGAGACUCUGUCUCAAAACAAAACAAACAAACAAAAAAAGAACUCUGGCAUUCCACUGAACACGUUCUCCUUCAAAACUGGGUCCAAUCAUUCUGCUGACACCAAGAGAGUGCCUAAAGGGACAGCCCAACUCAGGCCUUAGAUUUAUCUUGAGAGAAAAGUCCUAGAAGCAUUUUGAUUCUCAUAGAUGAAAGGACACCAGCACGGAGGACAUGAUUGGUCUUCUCGCCUCUCAAGCUGCGGUGGUGCUGUCCGAUUUGUGCAUAGCCAGAGGAAGAUUUCCUGAGAAGCCAGUCAAGCAUGAGCUCCAGGGUCCUUGCCUGUGUGCCCCUCUUCCAAGGUCCUGUACCGAUUUUUUAAAAAUUCAUAAUUGUAUAAUACUUUUCUUAAAUGGUGUGGGGCACAAAACAUAGACCUGCAUCGUAAGACCUGGCUCUACCCCUGGAAUAUGUUUCUGAUCUGAAGAUGACAACCUGGAGCAGUAAGCCCUUCAGUCCUUGGCAACAAUUAAUCAUGUUUUGAUUGAACAUGGCUCCUAAUUGUAAGGAGGCUUCAAUGUUAAGAAGUGGUUUGUCUUCACUGUACUGUAGAUUCUGACUUCAAUACACAUGUGACCUCAAAAAGUAAAUUAAUGCCGCCAGAUCCAAUUCUUCACAUCCUUUCUGUCAGUAGCGCAGGUUCAAGAAGGCAGCUGGACACACUGCCUGGCACAAAGUGGGUGCCUGCCUCCAGCUCCUGCCUGAGGUUUAUCUACAAAUGACACAGAAAGGACACCAGGCCCAUUCAGAUGGCAACCCAGGAAGACACCAGUCCUUCUGUCCUCACAUUAACAGAAGGAGGCCUCUGCUCGAGAGCCUUCAUGGGGGCUGAGGAACCUUUGGGAGCCUGAGCUGAUGGAGACUGGGCCUAAGCCUUUGGCCUACAGAGUCUGAGACCCUGGAAUGCUGCCUUCAUAUCACCAGUAGUGUUUAUGUUAGAAUGUGCCCCUUCAGUGACUGUGGCAGUCUGCAAUGUAUUAAUCCACUCAAUGGCUAGGGCCUUUAACGAGUAUUAUAUACUUCCAAGAAGGUGCUAGCAGAGAGCCUCACCAUGCAUUUUACAGCAAAGAAGUGAGCAAUGUCAUUAAGACACCCUCCAACUUGCAGUUUUUAGACAGAAGGCCAAUUCUGUAUGUAUAAGAACACUGUAUGUAUUAAACGUGGUAAUGAUCUCCC